rnacentral:rRNA from 1 species
CCUACGGGUGGCAGCAGUGAGGAAUAUUGGUCAAUGGACGAGAGUCUGAACCAGCCAAGUAGCGUGAAGGAUGACUGCCCUCUGGGUUGUAAGCUUCUUUUAUAUGGGAAUAAAAUGUUCCACGUGUGUGAUUUUGUAUGUCCCAUAUGAAUAAGGAUCGGCUAACUCCGUGCCAGCAGCCGCGGUAAUACGGAGGAUCCGAGCGUUAUCCGGAUUUAUUGGGUGUAAAGGGCGCGUAGGUGGAUUGUUAAGUCAGUUGUGAAAGUUUGCGGCUCAACCGUAAAAUUGCAGUUGAAACUGGCAGUCUUGAGUACAGUAGAGGUGGGCGGAAUUCGUGGUGUAGCGGUGAAAUGCUUAGAUAUCACGAAGAACUCCGAUUGCGAAGGCAGCUCACUGGACUGCAACUGACACUGAGGCUCGAAAGUGUGGGUAGCAAACAGGAUUAGAUACCCUUGUAGUC